CCUUGAGCUGUGAGCCAGAAUUAACUCUCUCACCUUUCAGUUGCUUUUGGAGGGAGAAGGGGAGGUGCUGGAGGAGUGGAAGCCCAUUACACAAAUCUCCAGGAUCGCCACAAUCACUCUGAAGAGUGAAGGGAACAAUUGCCAUCAAGCCAUGAGAGCUUGCCUAAGGACCCAGUACAGAUAUUAAUAGUAUCUACUGUGAGUAUAUGCUAUAAAGAAGACAAUUUGGGCAUUCACUCAGGAUAAGCUGACACCCUGGCUGGUGAACCUGAACUCAACACCCACAUCUAAGGAUCUGAAGAGGGAACUGAAGAUUUUGCUAUGGAAGUUGGAAAAUGGGAAUAUCUGCAUGUUCCUGGUUACCUCAUAUCUAACCCCAGUCUGACCACUCUCUCAUUCACUGGGAGUUUUGAGGCAGGGUGUCCCAAAGAGCAGCCUCAAAUGCUGAAGUUCUUCCCGUCUUCUGUUCCCUCCUGCUUCUCAAAAUGUUUAAGAAAAGAAUGUGACAGAUUUAGAAGCUAUAGGGGAGAGCCUCGAGUCCUCGCCCUUCCCACGUAACCUGUUGUCGAGAAUCGUCAUGAAUCGGGACGGAAAACAAAUCUUCGAACUCUGUGGAAAGAUUCUAACACUUUUUAUUUAUUCAUAAACAGCAAUAAGCAA
rnacentral:lncRNA from 1 species